rfam:Myotis lucifugus cont2.34817, whole genome shotgun sequence.
GGCAGUUCUCGGGUGACGCACCCCGGAAUUGGGCUCCCUCCUCUUUGGUUUCAGGUGUGUCACCUGAGAACUGCA